GAGUUUGAUCCUGGCUCAGAUUGAACGCUGGCGGCAGGCCUAACACAUGCAAGUCGAGCGGUAGAGAGAAGCUUGCUUCUCUUGAGAGCGGCGGACGGGUGAGUAAUGCCUAGGAAUCUGCCUGGUAGUGGGGGAUAACGCUCGGAAACGGACGCUAAUACCGCAUACGUCCUACGGGAGAAAGCAGGGGACCUUCGGGCCUUGCGCUAUCAGAUGAGCCUAGGUCGGAUUAGCUAGUUGGUGAGGUAAUGGCUCACCAAGGCGACGAUCCGUAACUGGUCUGAGAGGAUGAUCAGUCACACUGGAACUGAGACACGGUCCAGACUCCUACGGGAGGCAGCAGUGGGGAAUAUUGGACAAUGGGCGAAAGCCUGAUCCAGCCAUGCCGCGUGUGUGAAGAAGGUCUUCGGAUUGUAAAGCACUUUAAGUUGGAGGAAGGGCAGUAAAUUAAUACUUUGCUGUUUUGACGUUACCGACAGAAUAAGCACCGGCUAACUCUGUGCCAGCCG
rnacentral:rRNA from 1 species